UGCAUAUCAAUAAGCGGAGGAAAAGAAACCAACAGGGAUUGCCUCAGUAACGGCGAGUGAAGCGGCAAAAGCUCAAAUUUGAAAUCUGGCAGCCUCGCUGUCCGAGUUGUAAUUUGAAGAUUUCUCUUUGUGAGAGGCGCCUUGUCUAUGUUCCUUGGAACAGGACGUCGCAGAGGGUGAGAAUCCCGUGUGAUGAGGCCGCCGAUCCGUGUAAAGAGUCAUCGACGAGUCGAGUUGUUUGGGAAUGCAGCUCUAAGUGGGUGGUAAACUCCAUCUAAAGCUAAAUAUUGGCGAGAGACCGAUAGCGAACAAGUACAGUGAUGGAAAGAUGAAAAGAACUUUGAAAAGAGAGUGAAAAAGUACGUGAAAUUGUUGAAAGGGAAGGUUAUUAGAUCAGACUUGGCGGCGCGCCAUACCUGUCCUCUUGUAGGGCGGACACUGGCGCGUGUUUGCUGGGCCAGCAUCGAUUCGGGCGGCGGGACAUGGUCCUGUGGGAUGUGGCUGUUUUAACACAGUGUUAUAACCACGGGUCUCUGCCGCCUGCCUGGAUCGAGGACUGCGUCUGUUACAGACUAGGAUGCUGCGUAGCCUCCGUG
rnacentral:rRNA from 1 species